UAACCUGCUAAAUAGUUGCGUUCACUUUGGUGGACGAACAACUUCUUAGAGGGACUAUGAAUGUUUAAUUCAUGGAAGUUUGAGGCAAUAACAGGUCUGUGAUGCCCUUAGAUGUUCUGGGCCGCACGCGCGCUACACUGACGGAGGCAACAAGUAUUCACCUUGACCGGAAGGUCUGGGUAAUCUUAUGAAACUCCGUCGUGCUGGGGAUUGUCCCUUGCAAUUAUUGGACAUUAACGAGGAAUUCCUAGUAAGCGCAAGUCAUCAGCUUGCGUUGAUUACGUCCCUGCCCUUUGUACACACCGCCCGUCGCU
rnacentral:rRNA from 1 species